GAUGAAGAACGCAGCGAAAUGCGAUAAGUAAUGUGAAUUGCAGAAUUCAGUGAAUCAUCGAAUCUUUGAACGCACCUUGCGCUCCUUGGUAUUCCGAGGAGCAUGCCUGUUUGAGUGUCAUGAAAUUCUCAACCUUUUCAGCUUCCUUUGUUGAUCAGGCUUGGAUGUGGGAGUAUGCGGGCUUCUCAGAAGUCGGCUCUCCUGAAAUGCAUUAGCGGGACCUUUGUUGCCUGGCUUUGGUGUGAUAAUUAUCUACGCCAUUGUAGUCAAGCAGCUUAAAAUGAGGUUUCAGCUUCUAACCGUCUCCCCUGAGACAACUUUUUGACAAUUUGACCUCAAAUCAGGUAGGACUACCCGCUGAACUUAAGCAUAUCAAUAAGCGGAGGA
rnacentral:misc_RNA from 1 species